AGGGCAUUGGCCAUGAUUGCCUUUGGCCUCAGCACAGAAGGAUUAAUCCUGCCUUGGGGGGUUAUUUGCUUCAGAUCUGGACUUCAGGAUUGAUGGAGGAAGGUGAGCUGAAAAGAGAAGAAGGCUCUAAAAGUUACUUCUCAGAAGCUGCAUAAAUUGAUGAUCCCAACAAUGUGGAGCAUUCUAAGGAGGGCCAUGCAGAUUCACAGUCUGGACUGGCAUUCGUGGCUGCUGAACUGUUAACUGCAUUGCGCCUAGAAGGCCAGCUUCUGUUCUCCAUCACAGCCCUCAACUGAAAGCAGCUGAAAUUGCACAGAGCGAUGUUUGCAGUCUUUUUUUCUUGUUGGUGGUGAUCGAUGAAGAAGGCACAAUUUGAUUUUCAGAUCCUACCAGACACGGACAGGGUUGGCUAUUACAAAACAUGCUUGUUUUACAAGAACCCACUGAAAAAAUGGAAAUCAUUGCAUGUGAGAACAAAAACUCCCUACAGAGAUGUCAGAUCCAGCGCUGCAAGAGACUGUAUCUGUUGUUCUUACCAACUUUUUUCCUCAAAUACUUAUUAGCAGAUACAGAUUCAGUACAAUCCUUUCUGCAAUACUCUUAUUCAAAAAAUUACAUUCCUGAAGUGUCCUUGUUUUUUUUCCUUUAACUUAGAAAAGAAUUAUGUAGUAGAGAUGAUAUUCAUUUAACUGUAGUUAUUCUUUGUGUGUAGAAUUUACUUAUUUCUUUUUAUGG
rnacentral:lncRNA from 1 species